rfam:Villosiclava virens strain TV-8b Sca_326, whole genome shotgun sequence.
CACCGCCCGUCGCUACUACCGAUUGAAUGGCUCAGUGAGGCGUCCGGACUGGCCCAGAGAGGUGGGCAACUACCACUCAGGGCCGGAAAGCUCUCCAAACUCGGUCAUUUAGAGGAAGUAAAAGUCGUAACAAGGUCUCCGUUGGUGAACCAGCGGAGG